CUGCAUCCUGAAUAUGUUCAUAAGUAUGGAAUCAUGUCAAACUCAAACAUAUAUUCAUAUCGAUUCUCCAUCAAUCAAUGAUGACUCUAAAGUAUUAGAAACUCUUUCUAAUCUUCAUCCUGCUUUUGGUCAAAAGAUUUUUUUUGAGUUAUCUAGAGAUAAGAAUUCACAAGAUGUGAUCUUCUCUUACUAGGAGUGAUCGAUUCCAUAUUGACCUACUCAUAACCUUCAUACAUACUCCA
rnacentral:lncRNA from 1 species